rnacentral:rRNA from 1 species
GUAGGGGUGCGAGCGUUUAAUCGGGAAUUACUGGGGCGUAAAGCGUGCGCAGGCGGUUCUAUAAGACAGAUGUGAAAUCCCCCGGGGGCUCAACCUGGGAAUGGCAUUUGUGACUGUAGAGCUAGAGUACGGUAGAGGGGGAUGGAAUUCCGCGUGUAGCAGUGAAAUGCGUAGAUAUGCGGAGGAACACCGAUGGCGAAGGCAAUCCCCUGGACCUGUACUGACGCUCAUGCACGAAAGCGUGGGGAGCAAACAGGAUUAGAUACCCUGGUAGUCCACGCCCUAAACGAUGUCAACUGGUUGUUGGGUGCAUUAGUACUCAGUAACGAAGCUAACGCGUGAAGUUGACCGCCUGGGGAGUACGGCCGCAAGGUUG